GGUACGAUUAACAUAAUUUGAAUUAAUUUAAUCAACUCUGGCACCAAAUAUUGUAAAUACACAACUCUUGUUUCGAAAAGAUCAAUUGCGUCUGACACUGAUGAUAAAUUAAACUUUUUUGCUUUGGCAACAUCCAUCAUAAUAUUACAGCGAUGUAAUUCUAAUUUAUCCCAAUCGAAAUCGGAGCCAUAGUAUUCAGUUAUAAUAAAUGUAUU